GGGCCGAGGCCGCGGCAGCUGGACACUGACCCGGAGGACCGCGGCUGGCAGGAGCGAGCGUGGAGCGCGGGAGGUGGGAACAGACGGGACUGACCUUGCUCACGAAAGCGAGAGGUCUCCACCUUUGAGGGUCUCACUUGUUUCAGCGGCUGAAGCAGCGGCCGGUAAAGCAGAGCCCGUCUUGACCGUGAAGUUUCACCGGCACGUGACCACGGCCACUCAUUCCCGCAAGAUCCAGGGCUGUUUGGGGCUGCGACGGCGGACUUGAGCCCUUACGACACACGCGGUCUGGCCUUUGGAGACCAGGGCCCUGUGGGACGGCACGUGUGCCUGGGAUGUCCUGCCGGGGCGCGCUGCCCCUCCUGACACCGGUGAGUGCCGGAGGCGGGGUGGGGGCACACAAAUGCCUUAAAAACAAUCUUCUCUGGGGGUGCCGCGUGGCUCAGUGUGUUGAGCAUCCGGCUUUUGUUCUCGGCUCAGGUCGUGAACUCGGUGAGAUCGAGCCCCGCGUCGGGCUCCACACUGAGUAUGGAGCCUGCUUGGGAUUCGCUCUCUCCCGCUCUCUGCCCCUCCCCUGCUUGUGCUCCCUU